CCUACGGGAGGCUGCAGUGGGGAAUAUUGGACAAUGGGCGAAAGCCUGAUCCAGCCAUGCCGCGUGUGUGAAGAAGGCCUUCGGGUUGUAAAGCACUUUCAGUGGGGAAGAAAGCCUUGGGGCUAAUACCCUCGAGGAAGGACAUCACCCACAGAAGAAGCACCGGCUAACUCCGUGCCAGCAGCCGCGGUAAUACGGAGGGUGCGAGCGUUAAUCGGAAUUACUGGGCGUAAAGCGCGCGUAGGCGGUCUGAUAAGCCGGUUGUGAAAGCCCCGGGCUCAACCUGGGAACGGCAUCCGGAACUGUCAGGCUAGAGUGCAGGAGAGGAAGGUAGAAUUCCCGGUGUAGCGGUGAAAUGCGUAGAGAUCGGGAGGAAUACCAGUGGCGAAGGCGGCCUUCUGGACUGACACUGACGCUGAGGUGCGAAAGCGUGGGUAGCAAACAGGAUUAGAUACCCCGGUAGUC
rnacentral:rRNA from 1 species